GACGAACGCUGGCGGCGUGCCUAAUACAUGCAAGUCGAGCGGGCCUCCGGAGGUGCUUGCACCUCCGGAAGGCCAGCGGCGGACGGGUGAGUAACACGUGGGCAACCUGCCUUUGAGGCCGGGAUAACACCGGGAAACCGGUGCUAAUACCGGAUACGUCCUCUUUCGCGCCUGCGAGAGGGGAGAAAGACGGUCUUUAAGGCCGUCGCUCAAAGAGGGGCCCGCGGCGCAUUAGCUGGUUGGUGGGGUAAGGGCCUACCAAGGCGACGAUGCGUUGGCGCACUGAGAGGGGGAUCGGCCACACUGGGACUGAGACACGGCCCAGACUCCUGCGGGAGGCAGCAGUAGGGAAUCAUCCGCAAUGGGCGAAAGCCUGACGGUGCAACGCCGCGUGAGUGAGGAAGGUUUUCGGAUCGUAAAGCUCUGUUGUGAGGGAAGAACAGCUUCCGGAGGAAAUGCCGGAGGUUUGCCGGUACCUCACCAGAAAGCCCCGGCUAACUACGUGCCAGCCGCCGCAGUAAAAC
rnacentral:rRNA from 1 species